CUUAAAGACCUUGACCGGAGCAGAGCAUUAUAUAGACAAAUUAUAUACCUACGGACUCGUGAAUAUUUACUGAAUAUGAAAAUGCAAACUUCUCGAGAUUCCACGGCCUCUGAAAGAAGUAUUUAGCAUCCGAACCCCAGGAUUCACGGAUUUGAGAGGGGCACCCCGGAGAUUUAGUUUCGGCUGCGCUAGCCGUUGGCCGUUUCUACCCGUUUCUGAUGACAUCAUAACGUGUAGGUUAUUUGGCCACUCGGUAUAGCAGCUGGUUCUUCAUAUGGUGGUCGAUUGCAGUUAUCAGCAUGUCAAAACGGAGUAACACAGAUGAGGAAGGUGAGCCCAGCAAGAAGCCGAAGCCUGUUGGGGGAAACCGGUGUGUCUUGUAUGGGUGCAGCAACACUAUUCAUGAUGGCUUUGCCAUACAUGAACUACCGAAGGAA